ACCCUGGUGGUUCAGCGGUUGUAACGCUGGCUGGACCGGCGUCUGAAUUUCUGACGUCGUGGGUUCGACUCCCACCUUGGGCA